rnacentral:rRNA from 1 species
UACAGAGGGUGCAAGCGUUAAUCGGAAUUACUGGGCGUAAAGCGUGCGUAGACGGUUAUUUAAGUCAGGUGUGAAAGCCCCGGGCUCAACCUGGGAAUUGCAUUUGAGACUGAAUAGCUAGGGUGCGGAAGAGGGAAGCGGAAUUUCCGGUGUAGCGGUGAAAUGCGUAGAUAUCAGGAGGAACACCGGUGGCGAAGGCGGAUCUCUGGGCCGUAACUGACGCUGAGGAGCGAAAGCAUGGGUAGCGAACAGG